GACGAACGCUGGCGGCGUGCUUAACACAUGCAAGUCGAGCGAUGAAGCUCCUUCGGGAGUGGAUUAGCGGCGGACGGGUGAGUAACACGUGGGUAACCUGCCUCAUAGAGGGGAAUAGCCUUCCGAAAGGAAGAUUAAUACCGCAUAAGAUUGUAGUACCGCAUGGUACAGCAAUUAAAGGAGUGAUCCGCUAUGAGAUGGACCCGCGUCGCAUUAGCUAGUUGGUGAGGUAACGGCUCACCAAGGCGACGAUGCGUAGCCGACCUGAGAGGGUGAUCGGCCACAUUGGGACUGAGACACGGCCCAGACUCCUACGGGAGGCAGCAGUGGGGAAUAUUGCACAAUGGGGGAAACCCUGAUGCAGCAACGCCGCGUGAGUGAUGACGGUCUUCGGAUUGUAAAGCUCUGUCUUCAGGGACGAUAAUGACGGUACCUGAGGAGGAAGCCACGGCUAACUACGUGCCAGCCGCCGCGGUAACAC
rnacentral:rRNA from 1 species